GGCUACAGAGUUGCAGAGGUGAUUUUCCUCCACAUGCCAAAUGUUCACGCCUUCAGGUUGGCUUUGAGAGCCAUCAAGCUGUGGGCCAAACGUAAAUCCAAAUGAUCACCACCACAUCAUGCCCAUCAUCACAACAGCUUUCUCACAGCAGAACUGCAGUUUCAACGUGUCUUCCUUCCCCUUUGCCAUCAUAAAGGAGGAGAUUGUGCAAGUUUACAGCCUGAAAAGCAUUGUAAGGUCUGUGAAGAAGGUAUGAUCGUGUCAGCUGUGGUACGUGAGAAGAGAACAUCUGAGCUGGGCGAUGCCUAGUGGUGAAUGGAAAAGGUUUUUCAUUCAAAAACUGAAGGCCACUGUGAGUAUGGUACUAUUUUUUUUGCCUGGGUCCACUGAAUGCACUAGUAAGGUACUGAGACUGACCAAGAAAUAGUACGGCACAUAACUAUCCAUAAAACCCCAACGAGACACUUUCACACACAUUUUUCUUAUUCUGUACAGGAACUGGUGUCUGUGACAAAUGUCUCAUCUGCCCAAGCAUCCAC